rnacentral:rRNA from 1 species
GAUGAACGCUGGCGGCGUGCCUAAUACAUGCAAGUCGAGCGAACAGACGAGGAGCUUGCUCCUCUGACGUUAGCGGCGGACGGGUGAGUAACACGUGGAUAACCUACCUAUAAGACUGGGAUAACUUCGGGAAACCGGAGCUAAUACCGGAUAAUAUAUUGAACCGCAUGGUUCAAUAGUGAAAGACGGUUUUGCUGUCACUUAUAGAUGGAUCCGCGCCGCAUUAGCUAGUUGGUAAGGUAACGGCUUACCAAGGCAACGAUGCGUAGCCGACCUGAGAGGGUGAUCGGCCACACUGGAACUGAGACACGGUCCAGACUCCUACGGGAGGCAGCAGUAGGGAAUCUUCCACAAUGGACGCAAGUCUGAUGGAGCAACGCCGCGUGAGUGAAGAAGGUUUUCGGAUCGUAAAGCUCUGUUGUUGGUGAAGAAGGUUAGAGGUAGUAACUGGCCUUUAUUUGACGGUAAUCAACCAGAAAGUCACGGCUAACUACGUG